CCACUUCCGGUAACCGAGCUGUGUGCAUCUCAUCGCUCGUUGUCCUGAACAAUUAAUUGGAUAUUUUCAUCACUUCUUCAUUAUGGCUAAUCAACGCCCUGCUGCAGCCGGACUCUCUCUCUCUCGGCUGCUCAACCCCACAGGCCUCGGUGGCCAGAGUGAAUAUAUACGUCAUCAGCUGGCUUAUUUGGCCAUCAAUGUUACAGCUCUGCUGGAACGUCUCUGAUCCUCACCUGCACCUACCAGGCCUCCCUAUUCCCCUGCCUAGCGGAUCAUUCCAUCGGUGACCUAUUUUCAUGCUUCACUCAAACUGAAGCUCAAUUUCUUCCUGUAACUUCUGUGGAGGGCCUGUUUAUCAUUUUCUUUGAUGAUGAUAUUAACUUUGCUACAAACACAUCAUAUGACCUCUCACCUACAAAUUAUUCACCUAUAAGCCCUAUUCCCUCCCCAGAAUAUGUGUAUGAUAGUGAUUCUCAGUAAACUGCAUACUCUGUUA